UCUGGUGGAGCUGGAGGAAGAGGUUUGGACAGCACAGGCUGAGCCCCAUGAUGGCAGCAACAGCAGGUGGAAGCAGAUGCCUGGGGGAAGGCAGGAGAUUUGGUCUGCAAGGGGGCCACGCAUCUGCCUGCCCUGUUCCAGCUGGGAUGGCCGUGGGCAAGCAAAAACAAAUGGUGGGACAGAGUGGGUGAGUGAGUGGGCAGCCACCUGGUGCAUUCAGCAGGCCUGAUCACAUGCCUCCCCCCACGGCUCUGCCUCCCCCUUUUGCUUGGAGGGCCAACCUGGCAGUCCCAGUGCUUGGACCCACCUGCCCAGCAUGGGCUGUGACUACUGCCAGACGCUGUUGGACCCUGUGCACUCGUCCCCUCCUGUGUGUGGACUGGGGUGGGAGGGGCCUUGUGUUUGACAUACCUGAGCUAGAGCUUCUAUUAAGGCCCACCUCAUGGCACUACAAGCCUCAAAAUGUCAAUAUUUCUCCAUUCUUUUUGCACUUCUUAUAACACUGAGUGACACCCGUGGCCUUUUUAAAGAUGAUCUGGAACCUUCUGGGUAAGGGUCAUGUGUAGGUUUUCCUUCAGGCCUCACAGGAUGUUAUAAAGAUGGUGGACCGUAACUUUAUAUGUUUACAAUCUAUUAAAUAAAUGAGCCUCACGAAGAUUUUUAAACUAAACUGUUUUAUUUACGAAAAUAAACAAAGCCUAUUCAACAG